rnacentral:rRNA from 1 species
AUUGAACGCUGGCGGCAGGCCUAACACAUGCAAGUCGAGCGGAUGAAGGGAGCUUGCUCCUGGAUUCAGCGGCGGACGGGUGAGUAAUGCCUAGGAAUCUGCCUGGUCGUGGGGGAUAACGUCCGGAAACGGGCGCUAAUACCGCAUACGUCCUGAGGGAGAAAGUGGGGGAUCUUCGGACCUCACGCUAUCAGAUGAGCCUAGGUCGGAUUAGCUAGUUGGUGGGGUAAAGGCCUACCAAGGCGACGAUCCGUAACUGGUCUGAGAGGAUGAUCAGACAGACUGGAAGUGAGAAACGGUCCAGACUCCGACGGGAGGACGCAGUGGGGAAUACUGGACAAUGGGGGAAAGGCUGAUCCAGCCAAGCCGGGGGAGGGAAGAAGGUCCUCGGAUUGGAAAGCACUUUAAGUUGGGAGGAAGUGCAGUAAGUUAAUACCUUGCUGUUUUGACGGUACCAACAGAAUAAGCACCGGCUAACUUCGUG